rnacentral:rRNA from 1 species
GCGGCACGCCUAACACAUGCAAGUCGAACGAAGUAGCAAUACUUAGUGGCAGACGGGUGAGUAACAUGUAGGUAUCUACCCUUUGGCCUGGAAUAACACGAGGAAACUUGUGCUAAUACCGGAUAAGUCUUUACGGAGUAAGCUUUAUGCACCAUUGGAUGAGCCUGCACUUGAUUAGUUUGUUGGUGGGGUAAUGGCCUACCAAGACUGUGAUCAAUAGCUGAUUUGAGAGGAUGAUCAGCCACAUUGGGACUGAGACACGGCCCAAACUCCUACGGGAGGCAGCAGUGGGGAAUCUUGCACAAUGGAGGAAACUCUGAUGCAGCGAUGCCGCGUGAGUGAAGAAGGCCCUUGGGUUGUAAAGCUCUUUCGUCGGGGAAGAAAAUGACUGUACCCGAAUAAGAAGGUCCGGCUAACUUCGUGCCAGCAGCCGCGGUAAUACGAAGGGACCUAGCGUAGUUCGGAAUUACUGGGCUUAAAGAGUUCGUAGGUGGUUGAAAAAGUUGGUGGUGAAAUCCCAGAGCUUAACUCUGGAACUGCCAUCAAAACUUUUCAGCUAGAGUAUGAUAGAGGAAAGCAGAAUUUCUAGUGUAGAGGUGAAAUUCGUAGAUAUUAGAAAGAAUACCAAUUGCGAAGGCAGCUUUCUGGAUCAUUACUGACACUGAGGAACGAAAGCAUGGGUAGCGAAGAGGAUUAGAUACCCUCGUAGUCCAUGCCGUAAACGAUGUGUGUUAGACGUUGGAAAUUUAUUUUCAGUGUCGCAGCGAAAGCGAUAAACACACCGCCUGGGGAGUACGACCGCAAGGUUAAAACUCAAAUGAAUUGACGGGGACCCGCACAAGUAGUGGAGCAUGUGGUUUAAUUCGAAGAUACGCGCAGAACCUUACCAACACUUGACAUGUUCGUCGCGACUCUAAGAGAUUAGAGUUUUCGGUUCGGCCGGACGAAACACAGGUGCUGCAUGGCUGUCGUCAGCUCGUGUCGUGAGAUGUUGGGUUAAGUCCCGCAACGAGCGCAACCCUCACUUUUAGUUGCCAUCAUUUAGUUGGGCACUCUGAAAGAACUGCCAGUGAUAAGCUGGAGGAAGGUGGGGAUGACGUCAAGUCCUCAUGGCCCUUACGUGUUGGGCUACACACGUGCUACAAUGGUAUCUACAACAGGAAGCAAGACUGCGAAGUUAAGCAAAUCCUUAAAAGAUACCUCAGUUCGGAUUGCACUCUGCAACUCGAGUGCAUGAAGCUGGAAUUACUAGUAAUCGUGGAUCAGCGUGCCACGGUGAAUGCGUUCCCGGGUCUUGUACACACCGCCCGUCACACCAUGGGAGUUGGUUCUACCUUAAGGCAAGGUUUUAAACCCUUGACCACGGU